rnacentral:rRNA from 1 species
CCUACGGGGGGCAGCAGUGGGGAAUAUUGGACAAUGGGGGCAACCCUGAUCCAGCCAUGCCGCGUGUGUGAAGAAGGCCCUCGGGUUGUAAAGCACUUUCAGUGAGGAAGAACGCCUGGUGGUUAAUACCCAUCAGGAAAGACAUCACUCACAGAAGAAGCACCGGCUAACUCCGUGCCAGCAGCCGCGGUAAUACGGAGGGUGCGAGCGUUAAUCGGAAUUACUGGGCGUAAAGCGCGCGUAGGUGGCUUGAUAAGCCGGUUGUGAAAGCCCCGGGCUCAACCUGGGAACGGCAUCCGGAACUGUCAAGCUAGAGUGCAGGAGAGGAAGGUAGAAUUCCCGGUGUAGCGGUGAAAUGCGUAGAGAUCGGGAGGAAUACCAGUGGCGAAGGCGGCCUUCUGGACUGACACUGACACUGAGGUGCGAAAGCGUGGGUAGCAAACAGGAUUAGAUACCUUGUAGUC